UCAGUGGUCUUUGAUGUUAGUUACCAUUGUAAUUGUUUGGGGGUGGCAUGAACUGCACCAUAUAAGACAGCAAAUUAAUUGAUAAAUGUUGUGUGUAUUCUGACAAAACAGCCUUCUGUUAGAAGAAGAUGCCAACGAGGACUUUCAUAGCUAGAAAGAAGUCAAUGUCUGUGUUCAAAGCUUCAAAGGACAAGCUGACUCUCUUGCUAGAAGCUAAUGCAGUUGGUGAUUUUAAGUUGAAGCUAAUGCUCAUUUACCAUUCUGAAAAUCCCAGGGCCCUUAAGAAUUAUACUAAAUCUACCCUGUCUAUGCUCUAUAAAUGGAAUAACAAAGCCUGGAUGAUGGCACAUGUAUUUACAACAUGGUUUACUGAAUAUUUUAAGCCUAUUGUUGAGAUCUACUUUUGGGGGAAAAAAAAGAUUACUUUAAAAAUAUUACUGCUUGGUGAUAAUGCACCUGGCCACCCAAGAGCUCUGAUGGAGAUGUACAAGGAGAUUAAUGUUUUCAAACCUACUAACACAAUAUGUGUUCUGCAGCCUAUGGAUCAAGGAGUCAUUUCAACUUCAAGGUCUUAUAGAAAUAAAUACAUUUUGUAAGGAUAUAGCUGCCAUAGAUGGUGAUUCCUCUGAUAGAUCUAGGCAAAGUCAAUUGAAAACCUUUGAGAAAGGAGAACCAUUCUGGAUGCCAUUAAGAACAUUCGUGAUCAUCAGAGGAGGUCAAAAUAGCAACAUGAACAGAAGUUUGAAAGAAGUUGAUUCCAACCUGCAUGGAUGACUUUCAGGGAUUCGAGACUUAAGUGGAGGAAGUACAUAACUAUAGAGGUGAUAGAAAUAGCAAGAGAAUUUGAAUUAAAAAUGGAGCCUGAAGUUGUGGUUGAAUUACUGCAAUCUCAUGAUAAAACUUGAACAGAUGAGGAGCUGCUUCUUAUGGAUGAGCAAAGGAAGGGGUUUCUUGAGAUGGAAUCUGCUCCUGGUGAAGAUACUGUAAACAUUGUUUAAAUGACAGCAAAGGAUUCAGAUUAUUCCAUAAACUUAGUUGAUAAAGCAGCAGCAGAGUUUGAGAGGAUUGAGUCUAAUUUUCAAAGAAGUUCUGUGAGUAAAAUGCUAUCAAACAGCACUGCAUGCUACAGAGAAAUCUUUGGUGACUGAAAGAAUCAAUGUAGCAAACUUCAUUGUUGCCUUAAGAAAUUGCCACAGCCACCACUCUGAUCAGUCAGCAGCCGUCAACUUCAAGGCAAGAUGCUCCACCAGCAAAAAGAUUAUGACUCACUAAAGACUCAGGAAAACCAACCAAAGAUGUAUGCAGAGAAAGUAAUCGCCAUUCCCACCACAACUCCCAGGUUCACACUACUCAUCUAGAGUAAAAGUCCUCAUGAAUUCACUGCAAGACAAGAACACAGGAAAGCAACUACCACACAGAAGAGAUGUGGACCCCAAAACGUUGAUCUCUUACAUCCAACCAGGUGUAAUUGGCAAGUAACACAGAGCCAAGCACUACACCUGAGACAUGCUCAUCACAGUCACAAAGACUGAAUCUAAAACUUUGUCAGUACCCUGUGACUUAUGGAUGACUGUAUUUGCUAUACAACAGUGUGCUGGUAUAGAUAUAGGGGUGGUGUGGGUGGGCGUGGGCACUAAGUUGCUAAGUAGUCUGCGCUUACUGUCCCUAAUUGUUCCUGCUAAAUUCAGGCAUCCUUAAGGUCCUCUGAGAGCAGAAAACCCUCAAAUCUUAUUGAAGACAGGCUCUUAUUUCAUAUUCUCCUUCUCUUCUUGCAUCUUUUCCCCCAUGCUUUCUUUUCUUACUAUCUUCUGUAAAAAAAUUUUCUCUCUACUUCUAUUCCUGGUCUUCCUUGCUUUGACUCUUCCUCCUCAUAUUCAUGCCAAACUGUUUUUAUUUAAUUUAUGCCUAUAA